rnacentral:rRNA from 1 species
GACGAACGCUGGCGGCGUGCUUAACACAUGCAAGUCGAGCGGUAAGGCCCUUUCGGGGGUACGACGAGCGGCGAACGGGUGAGUAACACGUGGGUGACCUGCCCUCAGCUCUGGGAUAAGCCUGGGAAACCGGGUCUAAUACCGGAUAUGACUCCAUGACGCAUGUUGGUGGGGUGGAAAGCCUUGUGCGGCUGAGGAUGGGCCCGCGGCCUAUCAGCUUGUU